UGCGCGUAAAUUGCCCGAAUCCUGACACAGGGAGGUAGUGACAAGAAAUAACAAUACAGGGCUACUUCUAGUCUUGUAAUUGGAAUGAGUACAACUUACAUCUCUUCACGAGGAUCAAUUGGAGGGCAAGUCUGGUGCCAGCAGCCGCGGUAAUUCCAGCUCCAAUAGCGUAUAUUAAAGUUGUUGCAGUUAAAAAGCUCGUAGUCGGAUUUCGGGUCGGGCCGAGCGGUCUGCCGAUGGGUAUGCACUGUUCGGCGCGGCCUUCUUUCCGGAGACCGCGGCUACUCUUAACUGAGCGGGCGUGGGAGACGGAUCGUUUACUUUGAAAAAAUCAGAGUGUUUCAAGCAGGCAGCUCGCUCUUGCAUGGAUUAGCAUGGGAUAAUGAAAUAGGACUCUGGUGCUAUUUU
rnacentral:rRNA from 1 species